UGAGACCCCGCCCUCAGAGGAAGAGACUCCGCCCUCAGAGGAAGAGACACGCCCUCCUACCAAGCCAACUGAACAGGUACACAGGUUUGUUUCCCGGUUAAACAGACUAAGACAACACCAUGAUAAAUGUGCUCAACGCUAUGAACAGCUGCUAACAACCACACGUGAAACUGAAAGCGGUGACUGGUUACACACAGAAUGAUCAAUCUGAGGCUCCCAGAAAGCAUGUGUGGGUAGGACUAAACCCCGGUCCAUGGUAGACCUGGACAAUGCUCAUCGCAAACAAGGCACAAAAAUCAGUGUGAAACAGAAGUGGUCAGAAGACGAGGUUGCAGCUGUCGAGAAGCAUAUGAUGAACUACAUACGCACCUGUCGAGUGCCUGGGAAGGCCGACUGUGUCUCAUGCCUUUUGGCUGAACCUCUGGCACUGGGAAACCGAGACUGGUCUGCUAUUAAAUUUAAUGUCAAUAACAAAAUUACUGCGUUGAAAAGACAACAAAGUCAGUAAGGGUUUCUUUACAUUUAUACUGUUUGCUGUUACAUAUGUUACAUACGUUAAAAUUUAUAUGCUGUUAUAUGUUGAGUUAAAGGGUUUGUUCAGCUGGAUAUGAUAUCUCCCGCAUACAUACUGUAUGAAACAUGUUAAACAACUCAACAUAUGGAUUUAUAUUUUAGACCUGUUUUGUUGUGUGUAGUGUUGCUCAUUUUGAGUGUAAUUGUCAUGACACGUCAAGCCACAGCCCCGCCAUGAUCACCUGAGAACUCCCAUUCCAUUUUCCCAACCACCUCUUAUAUCUCUCUCCGCUCUCCACACACCUGUACACUAUCAGUGAUCACCUAUCAUGCCUCUUUAAACCACGCUAUGACACCAGUACGUCGCCAGUUUAUUGAGUUUUCUACCAGCCCAAUUUACCAGCGUUUCUCUCAUCAUAGUUUUCCAGGAUAUUGACCUAAAUCACACCUACAUAUUGGUACCAUGGUAAAUACCAAGUCCUGACCUACACACACACACACACACACACAGAUAUGUCUAAAUCACACCUACAUAUUGGGACCAUGGUGAAUACCAAGUCCUGAAACAC